UGCAGCGACGCCGCGUGAGGGAUGAAGGCCUUCGGGUUGUAAACCUCUUUCAGCAGGGACGAAGCGUGAGUGACGGUACCUGCAGAAGAAGCACCGGCUAACUACGUGCCAGCAGCCGCGGUAAUACGUAGGGUGCGAGCGUUGUCCGGAAUUACUGGGCGUAAAGAGUUCGUAGGCGGUUUGUCGCGUCGUUUGUGAAAACCCGGGGCUCAACUUCGGGCUUGCAGGCGAUACGGGCAGACUUGAGUGUUUCAGGGGAGACUGGAAUUCCUGGUGUAGCGGUGAAAUGCGCAGAUCUCAAGAGGAACACCGGUGGCGAAGGCGGGUCUCUGGGAAACAACUGACGCUGAGGAACGAAAGCGUGGGUAGCAAACAGGAUUAGAUACCCUGGUAGUCCACGCCGUAAACGGUGGGCGCUAGGUGUGGGUUCCUUCCACGGGAUCUGUGCCGUAGCUAACGCAUUAAGCGCCCCGCCUGGGGAGUACGGCCGCAAGGCUAAAACUCAAAGGAAUUGACGGGGGCCCGCACAAGCGGCGGAGCAUGUGGAUUAAUUCGAUGCAACGCGAAGAACCUUACCUGGGUUUGACAUACACCAGAAAGCCGUAGAGAUACGGCCCCCCUUGUGGUUG
rnacentral:rRNA from 1 species